rnacentral:rRNA from 1 species
GGGGAAUAUUGCGCAAUGGGGGAAACCCUGACGCAGCAACGCCGCGUGGAGGAAGAAGGUCUUCGGAUUGUAAACUCCUGUCUUCUGGGACGAAAAAAAUGACGGUACCAGAGGAGGAAGCCACGGCUAACUACGUGCCAGCAGCCGCGGUAAUACGUAGGUGGCGGGCGUUGUCCGGAAUUAUUGGGCGUAAAGGGCGCGUAGGCGGCAGCCUAAGUCAGAUGUGAAACCCCGGGGCUUAACUCCGGACGUGCAUUUGAAACUGGGUAGCUAGAGUGCAGGAGAGGAAAGCGGAAUUCCUAGUGUAGCGGUGAAAUGCGUAGAUAUUAGGAGGAAUACCAGUGGCGAAGGCGGCUUUCUGGACUGUAACUGACGCUGAGGCGCGAAAGCGUGGGGAGCAAAC